UUCACAUGCAACAUCCCUUAC
rnacentral:miRNA from 1 species